rnacentral:rRNA from 1 species
UACGUAGGCAGCAAGCGUUGUUCGGAGUUACUGGGCGUAAAGGGUGUGUAGGCGGUUGGAUAAGUGUGGUGUGAAAUCUCCCGGCUUAACUGGGAGGGUGCGCUACAAACUGUCUGACUAGAGUGUGGGAUGGGUAAGUGGAAUUCCUGGUGUAGCGGUGAAAUGCGCAGAUAUCAGGAGGAACACCGGUGGCGAAGGCGGGUCUCUGGGCCGAUACUGACGCUGAGGAGCGAAAGCGUGGGGAGCGAACAGG